rnacentral:rRNA from 1 species
GAUGAACGCUAGCUACAGGCUUAACACAUGCAAGUCGAGGGGUAACGAGAGGGAAGCUUGCUUUCCUUGUCGACGACCGGCGCACGGGUGAGUAACGCGUAUCCAACCUGCCCCCAACUAGGGAAUAACCUUGCGAAAGUAAGACUAAUACCCUAUAAUUUCCUCAGAUGUCAUCUGACGAGGAAUAAAGAUUUAUCGGUUGUGGAUGGGGAUGCGUCUGAUUAGCUUGUUGGCGGGGUUACGGCCCACCAAGGCAACGAUCAGUAGGGGCUCUGAGAGGAAGGGCCCCCACAUUGGAACUGAGACACGGUCCAAACUCCUACGGGAGGCAGCAGUGAGGAAUAUUGGUCAAUGGGCGGAAGCCUGAACCAGCCAAGUAGCGUGCAGGAUGACGGCCCUAUGGGUUGUAAACUGCUUUUAUACAGGAAUAAAGUUAGCCACGUGUGGUUAUUUGUAGGUACUGUAUGAAUAAGGACCGGCUAACUCCGUGCCAGCCGCCGCCGUAA